AGAGUUUGAUCAUGGCUCAGGACGAACGCUGGCGGCGUGCUUAACACAUGCAAGUCGAACGGUAAGGCCCCAGCUUGCUGGGGUACACGAGUGGCGAACGGGUGAGUAACACGUGGGUGACCUGCCCCGCACUUCGGGAUAAGCCUGGGAAACUGGGUCUAAUACCGGAUAGGACCGCACCGUGAGGGUGUGGUGGAAAGUUUUUCGGUGUGGGAUGGGCCCGCGGCCUAUCAGCUUGUUGGUGGGGUAAUGGCCUACCAAGGCGGCGACGGGUAGCCGGCCUGAGAGGGUGGACGGCCACAUUGGGACUGAGACACGGCCCAGACUCCUACGGGAGGCAGCAGUGGGGAAUAUUGCACAAUGGGCGGAAGCCUGAUGCAGCGACGCCGCGUGGGGGAUGACGGCCUUCGGGUUGUAAACUCCUUUCACCAUCGACGAAGGUUUUCUGACGGUAGAUGGAGAAGAAGCACCGGCUAACUACGUGCCAGCAGCCGCGGUAAUACGUAGGGUGCGAGCGUUGUCCGGAAUUACUGGGCGUAAAGAGCUCGUAGGUGGUUUGUCGCGUCGUCUGUGAAAUUCCGGGGCCUAACUCCGGGCGUGCAGGCGAUACGGGCAUAACUUGAGUACUGUAGGGGAGACUGGAAUUCCUGGUGUAGCGGUGAAAUGCGCAGAUAUCAGGAGGAACACCGGUGGCGAAGGCGGGUCUCUGGGCAGUAACUGACGCUGAGGAGCGAAAGCAUGGGUAGCGAACAGGAUUAGAUACCCUGGUAGUCCAUGCCGUAAACGGUGGGCGCUAGGUGUAGGGGUCUUCCUCGACUUCUGUGCCGUAGCUAACGCAUUAAGCGCCCCGCCUGGGGAGUACGGCCGCAAGGCUAAAACUCAAAGGAAUUGACGG
rnacentral:rRNA from 1 species